rnacentral:rRNA from 1 species
AGCGAACGCUGGCGGCAGGCUUAACACAUGCAAGUCGAGCGGGCACUUUCGGGUGUCAGCGGCGGACGGGUGCGUAACGCGUGGGAACGUGCCCUCUGGUUCGGAAUAACUCAGGGAAACUUGAGCUAAUACCGGAUACGCCCUUUUGGGGAAAGGCUUGCUGCCGGAGGAUCGGCCCGCGUCUGAUUUGCUAGUUGGUGAGGUAACGGCUCACCAAGGCGACGAUCAGUAGCUGGUCUGAGAGGAUGAUCAGCCACACUGGGACUGAGACACGGCCCAGACUCCUACGGGAGGCAGCAGUGGGGAAUAUUGGACAAUGGGCGCAAGCCUGAUCCAGCCAUGCCGCGUGAGUGAUGAAGGCCUUAGGGUUGUAAAGCUCUUUUAUCCGGGACGAUAAUGACGGUACCGGAGGAAUAAGCCCCGGCUAACUUCGUG